UUAGUAACUUAGGAGAGCCAUUUCUGUGCCUCUACUGACAUUAGGGUUAAGGGCUUCUGGUUGCUGCCUAGAGCAUGGGGAUGUUGAACACUGAACACAUCACCAUGGCAUCUUUACUGAAGGAAAAUCUGUUUGUUUCUCUACCUUCUCUUGAUGCUGAACAAUUCCCUCAUAGCACAUGUUGAAAUGUCAUUUUUGCCCUUUCCUAUACUGGUGCCUUCAGCAUGAUGCUUUGCUGUCUUUUUUGGGUUUUUUUCUGCCUCUUGCUCUUAGAAAGGCCUUUUCCUUCCAAGUGCUUUUAUAGCUCUCCUUUGGAGACUAAUGCAAGGCUUUGCACAACCCCAGCAUCAUAUAGAGCAACCCCAAAAGGCUAUUUCUGUUUAGAUGCUGCUGCUUAGUACCCUGGACUACAGUGAGGCUUAAAUUCUCAGUCUUUGCAGGUUUCAGCCAGCCUUAUACCGAACACAGGCAUCAGAUUUCAGACAUGUGGAGCAGUGGGCCAAAGCCUGGCGCUUUGAGAUGGACUGCCUCCCUCCAGUUGAAGUUUUUAAAAAAAGCAAGAUGAAACAAGACACUCCAUUCAUGUGAUUGCAGUCAUCUUGAGUGAAUCAUGAAUCCGUGGGCUUGAAGCUUGUGUGCGAGGGGGCACUCCUGAAACUUGUGGUGAUGUCCUAACACCCUCACGCAAUCACAAGGGCUCCACAAAGGACAGAAGCCAUCCUUGGGCAGACCUAAGGAAGAUGUGAAUACAGGCUGAAUGGGUCUCAGAAAAGUGCCCUCAAAUAGUCUGAGUCCUUCUCAGAGGAUUUCUGCCAAAACUACAGGGAACAGUGAUUUCUCCUAGAUGACAAUGGAGUUUUAGAAGUUAAAAGGUUUUAAAAGGUUUAGAGUGACUUCUGCUAUCUCAGGAGAUGUGAAAAAGGCACACCUCAAAAAACAAAAUGGAACAAAACAUAACAUAACAAAACAAAACAGAGACAAUUUUCUCUGCUACCCGCUUGAGCACUGAGUUGUGGCAAGACUUCAGAGAAAGACCUCUACAGACUAAAGAGUUCAUAAAGGAGUUCACUGAUACCUUGUUGACAAUGGUGAUGAAAUACCCUGACUUGUCAUCCUGGGAGAUUUCAACACACACAUUGACAAGGCUGCAGAUACAAAGUCCCAUAAACUCACUUCCUGGCUUUUCCUCCUAAGCUGCAACAGCAAAGCAGCAAACAGCUCUGUAUCCUCUGGCAGGGAUACCUCUAGCCAAAGUGGCCACAGAGAGCAGCCAGAAAGCACACUGCUGAGAACCACGGAUGAGGACUCAAGGAAUGCACUAAUGCCCAAAUUGAGCUUCAAACCAAGAGUGGGCAAGGAGCAGAGGAGGUUUGUUAUCUUUUAAAAUGCAUUUUCUUUGUUUUCAA